rnacentral:rRNA from 1 species
AUUGAACGCUGGCGACAUGCCUUACACAUGCCAGUCGAACGGCAGCACGGGUGCUUGCACCUGGUGGCGAGUGGCGAACGGGUGAGUAAUACAUCGGAACAUGUCCUGUAGUGGGGGAUAGCCCGGCGAAAGCCGGAUUAAUACCGCAUACGAUCUACGGAUGAAAGCGGGGGACCUUCGGGCCUCGCGCUAUAGGGUUGGCCGAUGGCUGAUUAGCUAGUUGGUGGGGUAAAGGCCUACCAAGGCGACGAUCAGUAGCUGGUCUGAGAGGACGACCAGUCACACUGGGACUGAGACACGGCCCAGACUCCUACGGGAGGCAGCAGUGGGGAAUUUUGGACAAUGGGCGAAAGCCUGAUCCAGCAAUGCCGCGUGUGUGAAGAAGGCCUUCGGGUUGUAAAGCACUUUUGUCCGGAAAGAAAUCCUUGGCCCUAAUACGGUCGGGGGAUGACGGUACCGGAAGAAUAAGCACCGGCUAACUACGU